rnacentral:rRNA from 1 species
CCCUUAGAUGUUCUGGGCAGCACGCGCGCGACAAUGGUCUUCGCAAACGGAUGCAUUCUCGAAGGAGAAUGCCAAUCUUGGAAUCUAUGCCUUGGUCGGGACAGUUGCUUGCAAUUUUUCGACUCGAACCAGGAAUUCCUUGUAAUCGUGAUUCAUCACAUCACGAUGAAUACGUCCCUGCCCUUUGAACACACCGCCCGUCGCUCCUACCGAUUGAAUGAUCCGAUGAAUAUCAUGGAUUGAGGAUGCAAGUAGGUUCGCCUAUCUUCAUCUUCGAGAAGUGAAGUAAAUCUUAUCAUUUAGAGGAAGGAGAGGUCGUAACA